UACGUAGGGUGCAAGCGUUGUCCGGAAUUAUUGGGCGUAAAGAGCUCGUAGGCGGCUUGUCACGUCGGUUGUGAAAGCCCGGGGCUUAACCCCGGGUCUGCAGUCGAUACGGGCAGGCUAGAGUGUGGUAGGGGAGAUCGGAAUUCCUGGUGUAGCGGUGAAAUGCGCAGAUAUCAGGAGGAACACCGGUGGCGAAGGCGGAUCUCUGGGCCAUUACUGACGCUGAGGAGCGAAAGCGUGGGGAGCGAACAGG
rnacentral:rRNA from 1 species